AUUGAACGCUGGCGGAAUGCUUUACACAUGCAAGUCGAACGGCAGCACGGGGCAACCUGGUGGCGAGUGGCGAACGGGUGAGUAAUACAUCGGAACGUGCCCAAUCGUGGGGGAUAACGUAGCGAAAGUUACGCUAAUACCGCAUACGAUCUACGGAUGAAAGCGGGGGAUCGCAAGACCUCGCGCGAGUGGAGCGGCCGAUGUCAGAUUAGGUAGUUGGUGGGGUAAAGGCUCACCAAGCCAACGAUCUGUAGCUGGCCUGAGAGGACGACCAGCCACACUGGAACUGAGACACGGUCCAGACUCCUACGGGAGGCAGCAGUGGGGAAUUUUGGACAAUGGGCGCAAGCCUGAUCCAGCCAUUCCGCGUGCAGGAUGAAGGCCUUCGGUUGUAACUGCUUUGUACGGAACGAAACGGCGAGCUCUAAUACAGUUGCUAAUGACGGUACCGUAAGAAUAAGCACCGGCUAACUACGUGCCAGCAGCCGCGGU
rnacentral:rRNA from 1 species